AGUGGCGAACGGGUGAGUAACACGUGAGUAACCUGCCCCUGACUCUGGGAUAAGCGUUGGAAACGACGUCUAAUACUGGAUAUGAUCGCCGGCCGCAUGGUCUGGUGGUGGAAAGAUUUUUUGGUUGGGGAUGGACUCGCGGCCUAUCAGCUUGUUGGUGAGGUAAUGGCUCACCAAGGCGACGACGGGUAGCCGGCCUGAGAGGGUGACCGGCCACACUGGGACUGAGACACGGCCCAGACUCCUACGGGAGGCAGCAGUGGGGAAUAUUGCACAAUGGGCGAAAGCCUGAUGCAGCAACGCCGCGUGAGGGAUGACGGCCUUCGGGUUGUAAACCUCUUUUAGUAGGGAAGAAGCGAAAGUGACGGUACCUGCAGAAAAAGCACCGGCUAACUACGUGCCAGCAGCCGCGGUAAUACGUAGGGUGCAAGCGUUGUCCGGAAUUAUUGGGCGUAAAGAGCUCGUAGGCGGUUUGUCGCGUCUGCUGUGAAAUCCCGAGGCUCAACCUCGGGCUUGCAGUGGGUACGGGCAGACUAGAGUGCGGUAGGGGAGAUUGGAAUUCCUGGUGUAGCGGUGGAAUGCGCAGAUAUCAGGAGGAACACCGAUGGCGAAGGCAGAUCUCUGGGCCGUAACUGACGCUG
rnacentral:rRNA from 1 species